GGGGGAAUAGCUCAGUCAGUUAGAGUGCUAGUCUGUCAUGCCAGAAUUCGCGGGUUCGACCCCCAUUUUCCCUG
rnacentral:tRNA from 1 species